GUGGUCCUAGCUCAACUGGUAGAGCAUGGCAUUAACGUUGCCAUGGUAAGGGGUUUGAUUCCCACUGGGACCACC
rnacentral:tRNA from 1 species